AUUGAACGCUGGCGGCAGGCCUAACACAUGCAAGUCGAGCGGAUGAAGGGAGCUUGCUCCUGGAUUCAGCGGCGGACGGGUGAGUAAUGCCCAGGAAUCUGCCUGGUAGUGGGGGAUAACGUCCGGAAACGGGCGCUAAUACCGCAUACGUCCUGAGGGAGAAAGUGGGGGAUCUUCGGACCUCACGCUAUCAGAUGAGCCUAGGUCGGAUUAGCUAGUUGGUGGGGUAAAGGCCUACCAAGGCGACGAUCCGUAACUGAUCUGAGAGGAUGAUCAGUCACACUGGAACUGAGACACGGUCCAGACUCCUACGGGAGGCAGCAGUGGGGAAUAUUGGACAAUGGGCGAAAGCCUGAUCCAGCCAUGCCGCGUGUGUGAAGAAGGUCUUCGGAUUGUAAAGCACUUUAAGUUGGGAGGAAGGGCAGUAAGUUAAUACCUUGCUGUUUUGACGUUACCAACAGAAUAAGCACCGGCUAACUUCGUG
rnacentral:rRNA from 1 species